UCUUCGGAGAGUUUGAUCCUGGCUCAGGAUGAACGCUGGCGGCGUGCCUAAUACAUGCAAGUCGAGCGAACUGAUUAGAAGCUUGCUUCUAUGACGUUAGCGGCGGACGGGUGAGUAACACGUGGGCAACCUGCCUGUAAGACUGGGAUAACUUCGGGAAACCGAAGCUAAUACCGGAUAGGAUCUUCUCCUUCAUGGGAGAUGAUUGAAAGAUGGUUUCGGCUAUCACUUACAGAUGGGCCCGCGGUGCAUUAGCUAGUUGGUGAGGUAACGGCUCACCAAGGCAACGAUGCAUAGCCGACCUGAGAGGGUGAUCGGCCACACUGGGACUGAGACACGGC
rnacentral:rRNA from 2 species